CUCAGGCCACAUCACGAAAUGUGACAGGAUAGCCUUGAACUCAUCAAUUGCUGGGGGCACCUCAAACUCAACUCCAAAAUUGAUCUAAUGAACUUUCCCAAACCACAUUCCCUUCUUGCAUUUCUGAGAGAAUGGAUUCCCAUUCAUCUGACUACAGUGCUACCCUGAAAGCAGAUCCAGAGACUAAGAUUCACCUGCAGGUGAUUCAUUUGGGUCUCAACUCAAGCAUUCCUUUCUCAAGAAGCCUUUUAUGGUAUGAAGAGUGAGACAGAGUUCCCUGCGCCACCUCCAUUGAAUCAUGUUAGGCCUUAAUGUACCUUUCCUUUAUAACACUUACUGAAUGAUUAAUUUGGCAUUUAUUUACCUGGCUAUUUUAUUCAGUGUUUAGGAUUUAUACUAGAUUGUAAGCUCCUCAAGAGUGUUCCAGGUCUAGUUUAGGUCACCAUGUAUCCCUGAUUAGUACCACACAUCCCAGUGCACCAUGGUUCUCAACAAAUAACAUGUUAUAUAAAUCAAUAAAUGACAGG
rnacentral:lncRNA from 10 species